rnacentral:rRNA from 1 species
AAGUCUAAUCUGCCCAGUGAUUUAUUUAACGGCCGCAGUAAUUUAACUGUGCAAAGGUAGCAUAAUCAAUAGUUUUUUAAUUGAAAGCUAGAAUGAAUGAUUGAACGAGAGAAUAUCUGUUUCAGUUUUAAAUAAUUAAAAUUUAAUUUUUAAGUAAAAAGGCUUAAAUUUAUUUAAAAGACGAGAAGACCCUAUAGAGUUUUAUAAUUUUUUUUAUUUAUUAUUUUUAGUUUUUAUUUUAAUUAAUAAUUAGAUUAUUUGAUUGGGGUGAUUUUAAAAUUUAAUAAACUUUUAAUUAUUUUAAUACAAAAAUUUUUGAUUUGUUGAUCCUAUUAUUUAGAUUAUAAGAUUAAAUUACCUUAGGGAUAACAGCGUAAUUUUUUUGGAGAGUUCUUAUUGAUAAAAAAGAUUGCGACCUCGAUGUUGGAUUAAGAUAAAAAUUUAAUGAAAAAGUUAAAUUAUUUAAGUCUGUUCGACUUUUAAAAUCUUACAUGAUC